CCUACGGGAGGCAGCAGUGAGGAAUAUUGGUCAAUGGCCGGAAGGCUGAACCAGCCAUGCCGCGUGAAGGUCAGUGCCCUAUGGGCGUUAAACUUCUUUUGUGCGGGAGCAAUAAUGGUCACGUGUGGCCAGACGAGAGUACCGUACGAAUAAGCCUCGGCUAACUCCGUGCCAGCAGCCGCGGUAAUACGGGGGAUGCAAGCGUUAUCCGGAUUUAUUGGGUUUAAAGGGUGCGUAGGCUGUGAGGUAAGUCAGCGGUGAAAUGCCCCCGCUCAACGGGGUGAAGUGCCAUUGAUACUGCCUGGCUGGAAUGCGGAUGCCGUGGGAGGAAUGUGUGGUGUAGCGGUGAAAUGCAUAGAUAUCACACAGAACACCGAUUGCGAAGGCAUCUCACGAAUCCGCGAUUGACGCUGAUGCACGAAAGCGUGGGUAUCAAACAGGAUUAGAUACCCCAGUAGUC
rnacentral:rRNA from 1 species